GAGCGGGCAACACGUGACAGCCCUCCUUGAAACGCUGCUUUCUGCAGCUGCCGGCAGGUGGCAACGCAACAACGAUGACUUGCGCCAUCGCGGCAGCAGCUCGCAUCCCCAUAUAGGCGAAGGGAACUCUGGCUCGAGUGUCUACGGGAGCUGCAAUUGGAGUGGUAGAGCCGGUAUGGCAAUUACGGUACAGUGGCUACAAUUGGCCCUGUGAUUUCGCUUCGACAGGCUCACCACAGCGAUUUUCACCAUCAUCAUGCCAAAAGGUGCCACCAAGUCCCUUCCAGAAGGCCCUUGCAAAGUCUGUGGAAUAUGCUGAAAUGGAUGUGACACCCCUGAAGGUGCAACAAACUUCAGCUGCUCAUUCAAGCCAGACUUCUGUUCAUUUUGUGUCUUCAGAGGAUGAAGAGGAUGCCUUCGAAUUAAGUUCUGAUGAUGAUGUGGUGUUUCGCAGACGUUUAAAGAAGAAAGCAUUUGUGAUCACUGACAGUAGUGAUGAAACACCUUGAAUACCUUGUAAUAAAUUAUUUUGCAAUUGCC